CGGGGCAUGGCGCAGUCCGGUAGCGCGCGUCGUUCGGGACGACGAGGUCGCCGGUUCAAAUCCGGCUGCCCCGACCC
rnacentral:tRNA from 6 species